rnacentral:rRNA from 1 species
AACGAACGCUGGCGGCAGGCUUAACACAUGCAAGUCGAACGCAUCCUUCGGGGUGAGUGGCAGACGGGUGAGUAACGCGUGGGAACGUGCCCUUCAGUUCGGGAUAACCCAGGGAAACUUGGGCUAAUACCGGAUACGUGCGAGAGCAGAAAGAUUUAUCGCUGAAGGAUCGGCCCGCGUCUGAUUAGCUGGUUGGUGGGGUAAUGGCCCACCAAGGCGACGAUCAGUAGCUGGUCUGAGAGGAUGAUCAGCCACAUUGGGACUGAGACACGGCCCAAACUCCUACGGGAGGCAGCAGUGGGGAAUAUUGGACAAUGGGCGCAAGCCUGAUCCAGCCAUGCCGCGUGAGUGAUGAAGGCCUUAGGGUUGUAAAGCUCUUUCGUCCGGGACGAUAAUGACGGUACCGGAAGAAGAAGCCCCGGCUAACUUCGUGCCAGCCGCCGCAGUAC